rnacentral:rRNA from 1 species
UACAGAGGAUGCAAGCGUUAUCCGGAAUUACUGGGCGUAAAGCGUGCGCAGGCGGCUUGCCAAGUCAGAUGUGAAAGCCCCGGGCUCAACCCGGGAACUGCGUUUGAAACUGGCAGGCUAGAGUUUGGCAGAGGGGGGUGGAAUUCCACGUGUAGCAGUGAAAUGCGUAGAGAUGUGGAGGAACACCGAUGGCGAAGGCAGCCCCCUGGGCCAAAACUGACGCUCAGGCACGAAAGCGUGGGGAGCAAACAGG